AAGUUUCCGCAAAAUCAUCGAUCCCUUCUGGCAGAUUUUCCUCUCUUUCAUUUCCCCUAUUUUUCCCCCAUUCAGUCGAGCCCCAGAUUUCCUUGUCAUUUUAUUUCCUUUUCAAUUUCGUUUCUUUUUCAUUUCCAUAUUGAAACCCAUUUCGCCCAUUUUGCCCAUUUGGCAGAUCCCUGUCUAGGUUUGUGGAUUUUGAGGGGAUAGAGUAAUUUGAACCAGCUUUGAGGUUCUAUUGUGUAGUGUGGUUUUUGUAUGCUCAUUAGGGAAUUCUUUAAUUUCAUAGGCAGAGGAGCUUGUGGUGUCAUCAUCAUCAUCUUCCAUCCUAGGAAACUUCAUAACUGGAGCUUAUGAUUUGGGUGAAUUAGAUGGACAAAACCCUUCCAAUAUUCAAGACCAAAAAUGAAGCAACGGACUGUUUCAAGCAAGAGUUGGGUAAAGGGUCCUUUAGAGCAGUUUAUAAAGGAACUCUACCAGUUGCAGGAGGUACUAAAAUUGUUGCAAUUAAGAAACUAGAGAAUGUGGAGGAAGGAGAAAGAGAGUUUCAAAAGAAGAUGACAGCCAUUGGGUGAUUUCUGUUUAGCCAAGCUAUUGAUGGCAAAUCAAACAAGCAUUACAAGGUGUAAAGGCACAGGAGGGCAUUUGGCACCAUAAUGGCAAAGGAAUGCCCCAAUACCUGUAAAAGUUGAUGUUUACAGUUUUGGGAUCAUACUGCUGGAGAUAAUCUGUUGUAGGAGUAGCAUAAAAGUAAAGGUAUCUGCACUUCAUCACGAUUGCGGUAUGCUCUGGCUGCUCUAGUAAUCUCUGCUGUUAUAAGUCUGUUUUGCGGUGUAGAAUAAUUUAGCACGGGGACACAAGAGUACAUCUUUCAGCUGAGACAUCAUCGAUAUGAAUGCUGAUAUAUAAUUUACUUGCAUGGAAUUAUUGCACUGAAACAAUCGGUUGUUAUUGCAUUAAAUUUUUGAAGUUA